rnacentral:rRNA from 1 species
CAUGCAGUCGAACGAUGAUGCCCAGCUUGCUGGGUGGAUUAGUGGCGAACGGGUGAGUAACACGUGAGUAACCUGCCCCUGACUCUGGGAUAAGCGUUGGAAACGACGUCUAAUACUGGAUAUGAUCACUGGCCGCAUGGUCUGGUGGUGGAAAGAUUUUUUGGUUGGGGAUGGACUCGCGGCCUAUCAGCUUGUUGGUGAGGUAAUGGCUCACCAAGGCGACGACGGGUAGCCGGCCUGAGAGGGUGACCGGCCACACUGGGACUGAGACACGGCCCAGACUCCUACGGGAGGCAGCAGUGGGGAAUAUUGCACAAUGGGCGAAAGCCUGAUGCAGCAACGCCGCGUGAGGGAUGACGGCCUUCGGGUUGUAAACCUCUUUUAGUAGGGAAGAAGCGAAAGUGACGGUACCUGCAGAAAAAGCACCGGCUAACUACGUGCCAGCAGCCGCGGUAAUACGUAGGGUGCAAGCGUUGUCCGGAAUUAUUGGGCGUAAAGAGCUCGUAGGCGGUUUGUCGCGUCUGCUGUGAAAUCCCGAGGCUCAACCUCGGGCUUGCAGUGGGUACGGGCAGACUAGAGUGCGGUAGGGGAGAUUGGAAUUCCUGGUGUAGCGGUGGAAUGCGCAGAUAUCAGGAGGAACACCGAUGGCGAAGGCAGAUCUCUGGGCCGUAACUGACGCUGAGGAGCGAAAGCAUGGGGAGCGAACAGGAUUAGAUACCCUGGUAGUCCAUGCCGUAAACGUUGGGCGCUAGAUGUAGGGACCUUUCCACGGUUUCUGUGUCGUAGCUAACGCAUUAAGCGCCCCGCCUGGGGAGUACGGCCGCAAGGCUAAAACUCAAAGGAAUUGACGGGGGCCCGCACAAGCGGCGGAGCAUGCGGAUUAAUUCGAUGCAACGCGAAGAACCUUACCAAGGCUUGACAUACACCGGAAACGGCCAGAGAUGGUCGCCCCCUUGUGGUCGGUGUACAGGUGGUGCAUGGUUGUCGUCAGCUCGUGUCGUGAGAUGUUGGGUUAAGUCCCGCAACGAGCGCAACCCUCGUUCUAUGUUGCCAGCGGGUUAUGCCGGGGACUCAUAGGAGACUGCCGGGGUCAACUCGGAGGAAGGUGGGGAUGACGUCAAAUCAUCAUGCCCCUUAUGUCUUGGGCUUCACGCAUGCUACAAUGGCCGGUACAAAGGGCUGCGAUACCGUAAGGUGGAGCGAAUCCCAAAAAGCCGGUCUCAGUUCGGAUUGAGGUCUGCAACUCGACCUCAUGAAGUCGGAGUCGCUAGUAAUCGCAGAUCAGCAACGCUGCGGUGAAUACGUUCCCGGGCCUUGUACACACCGCCCGUCAAGUCAUGAAAGUCGGUAACACCCGAAGCCGGUGGCCUAACCCU